AGCAUAAUUGCUGGGUUAAUAUGGUAAGAAUACAGUCAGUUUUGUAAGAAACUGUCAAAUUACUUCCUAAAGUGACUUCACAAUUUUGCAUGUCCACCAGCUGA
rnacentral:pre_miRNA from 1 species